GAUGAACGCUAGCUACAGGCUUAACACAUGCAAGUCGAGGGGCAGCAUGGUCUUAGCUUGCUAAGGCCGAUGGCGACCGGCGCACGGGUGAGUAACACAUAUCCAGCCUGCCGUCUACUCUUGGACAGCCUUACUGAAAGGAAGAUUAAUACAAGAUGGCAUCAUGAGUCCGCAUGUUCACAUUAGGAUUAAAGGUAUUCCGGUAGACGAUGGGGAUGCGUUCCAUUAGAUAGGUAGG
rnacentral:rRNA from 1 species